ACCUGAAACAAGUUCGUCCUGAUUUUCUUUGCUACCAAAAUCCAGCAAUUCUUGGUUGCCAUGGUUAUCAAAAUCCAGCACUUCCUGAUUUUCAGGUAACAGUAGAAAGCAGCAGAUGAUAUACCUCCUCAGAAUACAUUCAGAAGAAGUUAAAGUCGGCCGAGCUGAGACGAUAAAUACCCGUGACUACUGCAGGGUCAACUGACCUGGAAUAAAUCCUGACAUGGAUCUCUUCGUAGGACUGUCUGAUGGAGUCUUGCAAAGGAUUGUUCCUCUCUCCAGCCUCAUCCACCUUUCUCUUGGCCUGCUUCACCUCCUCUCUGAGCUUCCUCAGCCUCCACCUGGCUCUGGCAAGUUCC